rnacentral:rRNA from 1 species
CCUACGGGGCGCAGCAGUGAGGAAUAUUGGUCAAUGGGCGGAAGCCUGAACCAGCCAAGUCGCGUGAGGGAUUAAGGCCCUAUGGGUCGUAAACCUCUUUUGUCAGGGAGCAAGGCCUCUCACGUGUGGGAGGUUGGAGAGUACCUGAAGAAAAAGCAUCGGCUAACUCCGUGCCAGCAGCCGCGGUAAUACGGAGGAUGCGAGCGUUAUCCGGAUUUAUUGGGUUUAAAGGGUGCGUAGGCGGAAUAUCAAGUCAGCGGUAAAAAUUCGGGGCUCAACCCCGUCGUGCCGUUGAAACUGAUGUU